rnacentral:rRNA from 1 species
UACGUAGGGUGCGAGCGUUGUCCGGAUUUAUUGGGCGUAAAGGGCUCGUAGGCGGCCUGUCGCGUCGGGAGUGAAAGCCCACUGCUUAACGGUGGGUCUGCUUCCGGUACGGGCGGGCUAGAGUAUGGCAGGGGAGACUGGAAUUCCUGGUGUAGCGGUGGAAUGCGCAGAUAUCAGGAGGAACACCGGUGGCGAAGGCGGGUCUCUGGGCCUUACCUGACGCUGAGGAGCGAAAGCGUGGGGAGCGAUCCGG